CUACGGGGGGCUGCAGUGGGGAAUAUUGCACAAUGGGCGCAGGCCUGAUGCCGCCAUGCCGCGUGUGUGAAGAAGGCCUUCGGGUUGUAAAGCACUUUCAGCGGGGAGGAAGGCGGUGAGGUUAAUAACCUCAUCGAUUGACGUUACCCGCAGAAGAAGCACCGGCUAACUCCGUGCCAGCAGCCGCGGUAAUACGGAGGGUGCAAGCGUUAAUCGGAAUUACUGGGCCUAAAGCGCACGCAGGCGGUCUGUCAAGUCGGAUGUGAAAUCCCCGGGCUCAACCUGGGAACUGCAUUCGAAACUGGCAGGCUAGAGUCUUGUAGAGGGGGGUAGAAUUCCAGGUGUAGCGGUGAAAUGCGUAGAGAUCUGGAGGAAUACCGGUGGCGAAGGCGGCCCCCUGGACAAAGACUGACGCUCAGGUGCGAAAGCGUGGGGAGCAAACAGGAUUAGAUACCCGAGUAGUC
rnacentral:rRNA from 1 species